AUAACGGCGUCGAGCGGCGGACGGGUGAGUAAUGCCUAGGAAAUUGCCCUGAUGUGGGGGAUAACCAUUGGAAACGAUGGCUAAUACCGCAUGAUGCCUACGGGCCAAAGAGGGGGACCUUCGGGCCUCUCGCGUCAGGAUAUGCCUAGGUGGGAUUAGCUAGUUGGUGAGGUAAGGGCUCACCAAGGCGACGAUCCCUAGCUGGUCUGAGAGGAUGAUCAGCCACACUGGAACUGAGACACGGUCCAGACUCCUACGGGAGGCAGCAGUGGGGAAUAUUGCACAAUGGGCGCAAGCCUGAUGCAGCCAUGCCGCGUGUGUGAAGAAGGCCUUCGGGUUGUAAAGCACUUUCAGUCGUGAGGAAGGUAGUGUAGUUAAUAGCUGCAUUAUUUGACGUUAGCGACAGAAGAAGCACCGGCUAACUCCGUGCCAGCAGCCGCGGUAAUACGGAGGGUGCGAGCGUUAAUCGGAAUUACUGGGCGUAAAGCGCAUGCAGGUGGUUUGUUAAGUCAGAUGUGAAAGCCCGGGGCUCAACCUCGGAAUUGCAUUUGAAACUGGCAGACUAGAGUACUGUAGAGGGGGGUAGAAUUUCAGGUGUAGCGGUGAAAUGCGUAGAGAUCUGAAGGAAUACCGGUGGCGAAGGCGGCCCCCUGGACAGAUACUGACACUCAGAUGCGAAAGCGUGGGGAGCAAACAGGAUUAGAUACCCUGGUAGUCCACGCCGUAAACGAUGUCUACUUGGAGGUUGUGGCCUUGAGCCGUGGCUUUCGGAGCUAACGCGUUAAGUAGACCGCCUGGGGAGUACGGUCGCAAGAUUAAAACUCAAAUGAAUUGACGGGGGCCCGCACAAGCGGUGGAGCAUGUGGUUUAAUUCGAUGCAACGCGAAGAACCUUACCUACUCUUGACAUCCAGAGAACUUUCCAGAGAUGGAUUGGUGCCUUCGGGAACUCUGAGACAGGUGCUGCAUGGCUGUCGUCAGCUCGUGUUGUGAAAUGUUGGGUUAAGUCCCGCAACGAGCGCAACCCUUAUCCUUGUUUGCCAGCGAGUAAUGUCGGGAACUCCAGGGAGACUGCCGGUGAUAAACCGGAGGAAGGUGGGGACGACGUCAAGUCAUCAUGGCCCUUACGAGUAGGGCUACACAUAUGCUACAAUGGCGCAUACAGAGGGCGGCCAACUUGCGAAAGUGAGCGAAUCCCAAAAAGUGCGUCGUAGUCCGGAUUGGAGUCUGCAACUCGACUCCAUGAAGUCGGAAUCGCUAGUAA
rnacentral:rRNA from 1 species